AUUCCAGCUCCAAUAGCGUAUAUUAAAGUUGUUGCGGUUAAAAAGCUCGUAGUUGGAUUUCUGUCGGUGAAUAUCAGUCCGCCCACAGCGGUAGGUACGUGAUAUUUCACCGGCAUCUUCCUGGGGAAUGUGUCUGCUCUUUAUUGAGUGGUACAUAAGCCAGGACUUUUACUUUGAAGAAAUGAGAGUGUUUCAAGCAGGCAUGCGCCGUGAAUACGUUAGCAUGGGAUAAUAGCAUCGGACCUCGUUCCAAAGCUGUUGGUUUCUUGGACCGAGGUAAAGGUGAAUAGGGAUUGUUGGGGGCAUUCGUAUUCGACUGUCAGAGGUGAAAUUCUUGGAUUUGUGAAAGAUGAACUCAUGCGAAAGCAUUUACCAAGGAUGUUUUCAUUA
rnacentral:rRNA from 1 species